rnacentral:rRNA from 1 species
GAACGGCUGCUAAUACCGGAUGUGCCCUUGGGUGAAAGAUUUAUCACCUGAAGAUGAGCUCGCGUCUGAUUAGCUAGUAGGUGUGGUAAGAGCGCACCUAGGCGACGAUCAGUAGCUGGUCUGAGAGGAUGAUCAGCCACACUGGGACUGAGACACGGCCCAGACUCCUACGGGAGGCAGCAGUGGGGAAUUUUCCGCAAUGGGCGAAAGCCUGACGGAGCAAUACCGCGUGAGGGAGGAAGGCUCUUGGGUUGUAAACCUCUUUUCUCAGGGAAGAAUGAUGACGGUACCUGAGGAAUAAGCAUCGGCUAACUCCGUGCCAGCAGCCGCGGUAAUACGGAGGAUGCAAGCGUUAUCCGGAAUGAUUGGGCGUAAAGCGUCCGCAGGUGGCAAUGUAAGUCUGCUGUCAAAGCGUCUGGCUCAACCAGAUAAAGGCAGUGGAAACUACAUAGCUAGAGUAAGGUAGGGGUAGAGGGAAUUCCUGGUGUAGCGGUGAAAUGCGUAGAGAUCAGGAAGAACACCGGUGGCGAAAGCGCUCUGCUGGACCUUAACUGACACUGAGGGACGAAAGCUAGGGGAGCGAAAGGGAUUAGAUACCCCCUGUA